ACCGGAUGGGACAUUUCAUAGUACAAUGAAUCUGGACAGGAGAAUGUCUAGAUUCAUUGUACUAUGAAAUGUCACAUCCGGU
rfam:Oryza meridionalis cultivar OR44 (W2112) chromosome 2, whole genome shotgun sequence.